GGAGAUCCUAACAGCCAGUAGUGACUGAAAAGUGGUUUUUGUCGAAGGCUAUCCCUAUACACUCAUUUUUUCUAUGGCUUGCUAUUCAUGGGAGGCUCUCUACUCAGGAUAAACUAGUUCAAGAGGGUACCCUCUCUUCUAUAUAUUGUGUUGUCUGUAGAGACAAUGUUGAAGACCAUGAUCACAUGCCUUGUCCUUUAACCCUUAGCUAGAUUGUUUCUCUC